GGAAUAUUGUACCCCUAUUUUAUAUGGUUUUAAUACAAAUUCGGUCUAAUAGUUUUUAAGUUAAUUUAUUUAUGUGGCAGCCGGCGACCUACUCUUAUUAGUUCUGUUUUCGCCACCAGAUAGCGUAUCGCAGUUUAGCCAUUCCCAAUAGGAACCCUAGUCGCCGCUUUCAAAGCGCCCCCACCUUCUUCCUUGUACUCGUUCAGUGUCAAGGCCGCUCUUGCUGCGUUUCUUCGGACGAGAAGAGUACGUUUUCUUUCUUUCGUAACUGAUUGAGCUAAGCGGCACGUAUUUUGGAGACCAACCGAGCGAGAUUCGACUUCCCAAGGAGAGCUCACGCCAGAAAAAGGAGAGCUGCGGCAGCUUGCGUCCGAGAAGGAGGACUGAGGCAAGGAGUCCGGUCCAGCGAGCAGGGCUCUUCUGAUAUUCUCAAUUGGGACGCCAUAUUGGAAGAUCGACAUUGAUCUUGGAAUUGAUCUCCUUCUUGUGACUCUGACACACCGGCAAACGAGGCUCAUUCAGAUGACAACGAUGAUAACUCUGAAAAUUGCGAGAAUAGUGAUAAGAACAACGAGAACCAAAAGAACGAUGAGGAAAAAAAUUUCCCAUAAAGAUAUAUUUUAGUAUUUAUUAAUGGCUACGUAACAAGGCUUGCUGCAAUUUGGCGUCAACCUGUGUCAUCAAGAUUUGUUCUGUAUUUGGUGCCAAUUUGCUGUUAAGUAUUGUUCUCAAAUCUUGUUUGAUAUUUGAUAUCAAUUUGGCGUCGGGUUUUGUCAACAAACUUUGAUAGCAAUUUGUCAACAAUUUGCAAUUUGAUUGCUGGCAAGCUUUGCUUGGUAUUUGGUGUUAAUUUGGCGUCAAGUUCUUUCGUAAAGGUUUGCUCGCAAUUUGGCACAAAUUUGCUGUCGAGCUUUUGUUGGCAAGCUUUGUUCACAAUAUGGCGCAAAUUUGCCGUGGAACUUUUGCUGCCCUGUUUUGCUCGAUAUUUGGCCUCAAUUUGGUGUCAAGUCAUGUACACAAGCUUUGCUAGCAAAACACAAGCGUAUUGCAGACACAGAUCGCACCGGAUUUGUCGACAAGUUUUGCGCGUAUUUGGUGUCAAUUUGGUUACAAUUUGCUGACAAAUUGUUUACUGGGUAUGUGCAUGAACUCACAUGCUUUCUUCCACGCAGA